rnacentral:rRNA from 1 species
UAGUCCACGCCGUAAACGAUGUCAACUAGCUGUCUGUGGACUUGAUCCGUGGGUAGCGCAGCUAACGCACUAAGUAUCCCGCCUGGGGAGUACGGUCGCAAGAUUAAAACUCAAAGGAAUAGACGGGGAUCCACACAAGCGGUGGAGCAUCUGGUUUAAUUCGAUAAUAAGCGGGGAACCUUACCGGGGCUUGACAUCCUCAGAACUCUCUAGAGAUAGAGCGGUGCCCUUCGGGGAACUGAGUGACAGGUGCUGCAUGGUUGUCGUCAGCUCGUGCUUUGAAGUGUUCGGUUAAGUCCGUUAACGAGCGCAACCCUCAUCGUAUGUUGUUUUUUCAUGCGAGACUGCCAGGUUUAACCUGGAGGAAGGUGAGGACGACGUCAAAUCAGCAUGGCCCUUAUGUCCCGGGCGACACAGGUGCUACAAUGGGAAGGACAAUGCGUAGCCAAGCCGUAAGGUGGAGCCAAUCGCACCAAACCUUCUCUCAGUUCGGAUUGUGGUCUGCAAC